rnacentral:lncRNA from 1 species
AGCUGUUAUUGGCAUUCUUAUUCUAUUGAAUAGACACUUCAAGCAUUGUUUCUCCAUCAUAAAUUCUCUGAAAAUCAAUAUGGUGUCCCCUGUUCCCUCGAUGUUCUUGUGCAGUUUCCAGGAUUUGAAAGGCUCUUCCCUGCCCAUCUAUAGCCUCCGGCAUAGUACUGAGCACUGUUAACGUCCAAAGGUCUUGCUGUGCCCAAAGCCUUCUUGCUUCUCACUCCACCUAGA